AAACUUAAAGGAAGUUGACGGGGCCGCACAAGCGGUGGAGCAUGUGGUUUAAUUCGAUGCAACGCGAAGAACCUUACCUGGGCUUGACAUCCACGGAACCUGCUGGAAACAGUGGGUGCCUUUCGGGAGCCGUGAGACAGGUGCUGCAUGGCUGUCGUCAGCUCGUGUCGUGAGAUGUUGGGUUAAGUCCCGCAACGAGCGCAACCCUUGUCUUUAAUUGCCAUCAUUCAGUUGGGCACUUUAAAGAGACUGUCGGUGUUAAACCGGAGGAAGGUGGGGAUGACGUCAAGUCCUCAUGGCCCUUAUAGGUGGGGCUACACACGUCAUACAAUGGAUGGUACAAAGGGUCGCCAACCCGCGAGGGGGAGCCAAUCCCAUAAAGCCAUUCGUAGUCCGGAUCGCAGUCUGCAACUCGACUGCGUGAAGUCGGAAUCGCUAGUAAUCGUGGAUCAGAAUGUCACGGUGAAUACGUUCCCGGGUCUU
rnacentral:rRNA from 1 species